AUGUUUCAAGAAACCCGGUUUCCAUGGAAUGGAUCUUUAGAGUUAUGUUUCCCUUACAGAAAGAGGUCAGGGCAACCUCGUGAGUUUGGGAUUAACAAUGAGGGAGUUGAUCUUGGUGACAAUCGCGUGAGUUCUGAGGAAAAAGGGGGAAUACAACUGCAGAUUAGAGCGUGCUGGAGGCCAGAGCUGGUCGUGAAGCCACCACAGUGA